rnacentral:rRNA from 1 species
AACUACCCCAUAUGUCUUUUGAGUGAAAUGGUAUUUAUCCGCCUAGAGAGAAGCUCGCGGCUGAUUAGCUUUGUUGGUAAGGUAAGAGCUUACCAAGGCGACGAUCAGUAUCUGGUUUGAGAGGACGAUCAGACACACUGGAACUGAGACACGGUCCAGACUCCUACGGGAGGCAGCAGUGGGGAAUUUUCCGCAAUGGGCGAAAGCCUGACGGAGCAAUACCGCGUGAGGGAAGACUGCCUAUGGGUUGUAAACCUCUUUUUUCAGGGAGGAAUAAAAUGACGUGUACCUGAAGAAUAAGCAUCGGCUAACUCCGUG